UAAAACAAGCAUUCUGUGAGUAUUGCAUGGCAAUACAUAGUCCCCUACUGGUUACAAAUUCAUUGUAAUGGAACGAAUUUCUAACUUGAUCUAUAACUUGUCAUGGUGUAAACUACAUAAAAAUAUCAAGUCAAAAUCUUCAAGCAUGACAAAAAAAACUGUUGAAAACUGAUUAUUUAAGUGAAUUUUCUAUGUCCAAAGACCAUAACUCUGCACAAAAUUAUCAGACUGGAACAAAAUUCCAACUUGAUCUGUAACUUGUCUUGAUAAAACUAUAUACUAAUUAUCAAAUUAAUAUCUUCAAGAAUGACAAACAAACCUACCACUAAAUUCUUCAAACAAUUUACCAAAGAAAAGGAAAAAAAUCCAAAAUGUCAUUUUAUCUUUUAAUAAAAUGCUCCGCAGGGCGCAGCUUGAUACGACCGCAGAGGUCGAACCCUGAACAGUUGGGGCAAGUAUGGACACAACAUUCAAGCUUGAUACAGCUCUGAAUUUGGAUUGUGAUUAAAUAUUUGACACAGCAUAGGUUUCUGACACAGAAAGAAUGUGGUCUAAGAACUUGAAUUUUUUUAAUUUACCUAUUAUGGUCCAAUGUCUAAAAUCAAAAUACAUGGUUAGAUUAAGCAUAUCAAAGAACCCCAUAUAUUCAAUUUUUGUUAAAAUCAAACAAAGUUUAAUUUUGGACCCCAACUUGGACAAACUUGAAAACUGGGCCCAUAAUCAAAAAUCUACACACAUGUUUAGAUUCAGCAUAUCAAAGAACCCCAAGAAUUCGACCAAUUUAAAAAACAGGACUUAAAAUUAAAAAUCUAAAUACACAGUUAGAUUUGGAAUAUCAAAGAACCCCAAUAAUUCAAUUUUUGAUGAAAUCAAACAAAGUUUAAUUUUGGACCCUUUUGACCUCAAUAUGAACCAAUUUGAUAGCGGGGCCCACAAAUAAAAAAUCUAAAUUCAUGGUUAGAUUCAGCAUAUCAAAGAACCCCAUAUAUUCAAUUUUUGUUGAAAUCAAAAAAAGUUUAAUUUUGGACCCCAACUUGGACAAACUUGAAAACUGGGCCCAUAAUCAAAAAUCUAAACACAUGUUUAGAUUCAGCAUAUCAAAGAACCCCAAGAAUUCAAUUUUUGUUAAAAUCAAACUAAGUUUAAUUUUGGACCCUUUGGACCUCAAUGAAGACCAAUUUAAAAAACAGGACCCAAAUUAAAAAUCUAAAAACACGGUUAGAUUUGGCAUAUCAAAGAACCCCAAUAAUUCAAUUUUUGAUGAAAUCAAACAAAGUUUAAUUUUGGACCCUUUUGACCUCAAUAUGAACCAAUUUGAUAGCGGGGCCCACAAAUAAAAAAUAUAAAUACAUGGUUAGAUUCAGCAUAUCAAAGAACC